UCUUUUCCUUUUUUUCCAGCCGCCGCGGUAAUACGGAAGGUCCGGGCGUUAUCCGGAUUUAUUGGGUUUAAAGGGAGCGUAGGCCGGAGAUUAAGCGUGUUGUGAAAUGUAGAUGCUCAACAUCUGAACUGCAGCGCGAACUGGUUUCCUUGAGUACGCACAAAGUGGGCGGAAUUCGUGGUGUAGCGGUGAAAUGCUUAGAUAUCACGAAGAACUCCGAUUGCGAAGGCAGCUCACUGGGGCGCAACUGACGCUGAAGCUCGAAAGUGCGGGUAUCGAACAGG
rnacentral:rRNA from 1 species